UAAUUUGGCAGGACAAAUUGUUUUGUAGUUAAAGUACAGGAUUGGCAAUCAGGAAACCCGGGUUAUAUUGCUGCUCAACCACAGCCUUCCUGUGUUAAUUUGGACAAAUGGUUUAAUUUCUCUGGGCCUCAGUUUCAUUGAACACAAGCGAGGGGCGUAAUAAUAUUUAACACCCCUAUGAGACAGGUUAGAGGCAAUUCAUUAAUGUUCAUAAAGCAUUUUGAGACCUCAGAUGCAAGGUGCCAUAGAAGGGCAGUGUACUGUUACUGCUACAAUGGAACCUCACGGUCUGUGCAUUUUACAAUCCACACAACAAAAUUGGCCAUUUCUUCUCACAGAUCUAAAGACAAAGCACUGUAACGAGUGGUCAUAUAACUGAGAUUGUUUACUAGUGCAUAAGGAAGCAUUAGCCUAUGUAACUAAAGGUGAAUUUCAAUUGUCAAAAUAAAAAACAAAUGACAAAAGCCUCCCAAAACAAAAUACCCACAAUUCUCCCCAAGGAGAGAAGGUGAGAGAGUAUUAUGCAUAUGUGACAGGUACUGGUCACAUCACUUAGUGCACUCAGAUACUACAGUGAUGAGGGCAGUAUAAGAAUCUAUAUAACAUAGAAGAGAAAAGAGAUGAACAAAAAUACAUUAAAAUGUUGUGUUAACCUUGCUUUGGGCCAAAUUCUUUUUUUUGUUACUGGCAAACCAGUGGAAGAGCUGGUAAUAGACUCCAGAGGUCCUGAUGUCCCAUUGUCUGUUCUAAUAGCUAGACAAUACUACUUCAUCUCAAAAUCUCUUUCUCCUCACUGCUGUCUUGGCAAAUGAUUAUUGAAAGGAUCCCGCAAUCUACCAAUGACAUAGUUAACCAAUGACAAGUUAACCUCAACAUCUUGGUUUCAGUUUGUAUAAGCAUCCUAAAGUUUGGAUACUUAUCUAAAACUUGUCCAACUUUGAUUGUUAGAAUAGGGCUGGAAAUCUCGUGGGAACCAUCUCCCUCUCCCUCACAUCCCUUUUCUGGUCAAGUCAGGAGUAUCACAAGAACAGACUGUUUCAUAAUAUUUCAACACUUCUGGUUCCAGUCCUGGAAUAACUGGAGGUACAGAGGCAUGUGAAAAUGGAAUAAUCAUUUUUUUUAAAAAUUGAAAUUUUCCAAAUCUCAGAAAAAGGGUUUGGUUUGGGUUCACUUUAUUUCCAGUGAUCGCAUAUACCCUUUACAAUAAAAUCUCACUCUGAAAGUGGUAGAUUUAAAAAUAAGCAAAACUAUUGACAAUAACACAAUGAAGAAUUUUUCUAAAAGAUUCUAUCUGUAAGAUAGCUGAGAUGGUAUCUUUACAACCAAGGCUGUCCCUUCUAAAAGGUGAUCUGCAGAAGGGAACAAAUUUGGGGUCGUAUACUUCUUUGUACUUUUAAAUAUGUCCCCCUACCUACUGACUCCUGCCCCCACCAUGUAGAAAAUAAGGAAUUUCAAGUGUUACAUGUUCUCGCUUUUUGUUGAAGGUUUCAGCUGAAGGAUGCAAAGAUGUGGAUUUGGAGUUGUCUUAUCCCUUAAUUGAAGGAAUGGAGGUGAUGUUAAAGAUUCGAAGAUCUUUUUUCCCCAACUGUGUGUUUUUUAUUCUUGUCAGCAAGUUAAGGAAGUAUGGGCUGGAUGAAUGCACUAUAAGGUAUCCAGCAGGACUAUCAAAAUCAGAUGGGCCAUCAAGGAAUAUUGCACUACAAAGGAUUGGUUAACGGCCCUACCCACACCUGGGAAAUGCUACGUGCAAGGAAGCUCAACUUGUGUACUUGGAAGCUGAAUGAAGGAAAUAAAACAAAGUCACAGGAAAAUUUUCCUUUGUUUUGGCUGUUUGAACUCUGACAGGGCCACACACUCUGAACUGAAGCACAAGAUCCCCAGCGGCUGCCUCCUGGUCUACCCUGAAAGACGCUUUGAAUUGACAGAUCUCUGUCACUCUUAGGAUUUAGAUGAGUCCCAGCUCCUCGAGUCAAGUGGAUAUGUGAUGAUUUCAGCCUUCAUUCUUAAA